GAAAGGCGCCAGCUUCUAGGAAUGGAGGCUGCAGCACGCCUAGAGGCAACCCCAUAACCUCCGAUAGAUACUACCCCAGAGCAGGCAGCAGUUGCCGAGGCUGAUCUCUGUAAACCCUUCUUUUGCGUAUGAGAAUGGUGAUUUUCACCUCUCAUAUCUCUCAAGGAACAGGCCCAGACAGAAAUAUGAAAGUACCUUCAAGCUUUUUCUGUGAAGUUUUAAAGCCUCCUCAUUCUUGCGCUUGGAGAAAGGAAAGGCCAGCAGCUUGAAACCCUGGGCACUGCAAACAGACUUGGCCAUCAUUGCACAGUCAGCAAGAAGCCCGCAGAGCACCACCGAGGAUAAGCCCUUGCCAACUCAGCUGAACACAAGCCAACGUGACAAGACCACCUGCCAAUCAAGGCCACCAAGGAAGCCAGCGCCUUACUGAUGAUUAGAGGAGCCAAGACUCUCAUAGGAACACACUGGAUCUGGGCCCGGGAGAAUUUCUCCAGAAAGUUGAAUCUAAAUUCUCUUUGUUCACUUGGUUUGUAUAUGUAUUUCAUUUUUGCCAAAACAUGUAUUGUUCCUUUAGGAUUUAAAAACCAUUAAUUCCCCUCUGAAACUGAAAGCACCUUUGCUAUCCAGUGAAAAGGAGCUGGAAGGACUUGUACUUGGCUGCAGGAAUACAGAGAACCUGGUUUUCAAGUCAUACGCCUCUGUAGUGUCACUUCUGAAGUAAAGAUUCAGAGAGUCAGGCAACUUGCCUGUGUCUCUGCCACAGCCUAGUAUAGUUAGGGGACUGCAUUUACACAAGGAUGCUAAACAAAAAAGUCAAUAUACUAAAGAUGAAGGGUAAUAGAUUAAUGUUUUUUAAAAGAUAUAAAUAUGAAGGCCAGAGUGACUUCUCUGUGUUUUUAAACAGAAUUGAAAGUAGUGAUACAGUUCAUAAUUUUCAGUAAAGACAGUUAAAU